UUUAUUUCCUCUUUUAGAAGUGGUCAUGUGAAUUUUCUUAUUUAUUCCCAUCUCUCUAAUCAAAGAUGCUUUUUUAAAAAUGAUAUUUGUAUCUACAUCAUAUCUCUUCUCAAAGGAGGUUUCAUGGAGUUUGAUAAGUUGAUUGCUUCGUCAGAUAUGAUGCCCAAGGUUUUGAGAAGUCAUCUGCAACUCAACAAAGGGGAAUUGUUACUCUUUGCAAAAGACUUGAUGUAAUCCAACAAGCCCAGUCUGGAACUGGGAAGAUUGCAACUUUUUGUUCUAACAUUCUUCAGCAACUUGAUUAUGGUCUUUUGCAGUGCCAAGCAUGUUACUUCCAUUUAAGUAUGUGACACCUAUAGGUAGACACCUCUUGAGGUAUGCAUUUUCUACUAAGAACUUACAGACCCAUCCUUUCCUUUAUAUAUUUCUAAUUUACCAAAAACUUAGAUAAUGGCCGUUUUUAUUUAGAAACUAGUUCUUGAGGCCAAUAUUGAACAAUUUAGUUAGUUGGCGGAAAAUAUAGCAAUUAUAUAGGUUAAAUGAAUGACUUCGAAACUUACUGCAAUAUAUCAAAAUGCUUUCAACAUGUCUAUGUUUCAUGGUUAGACAUGUGUGGAAAUUUUUGUUAUGUUUAUGUGCUUUAAUUACAUAGUAGAUUGAUUUAUUGUCUAGUCUUGUGCAGAUUUUUUACUUCAAAAUAUUUUUUGCAACUAAUUUU